GAACACUUCCAUAUUAUGUUAAGAAACUCUAGAUCUUAUUUAAACUUUGUGCUUUAAUUGGCAUUCUCUGAUACUGUUCAAUCAGGAGAAAGGCAAUGUUGAAAAUUCUGACUCCUGCUGGACCUCCUCUGACACCACCCCAGCUGGGACGAGGAUAGAGGCCUCAUUACUGCAAGGUUCCUGACUUCUUCAGUUCUGAGCAUGGGACACGGAACAGAAAAAGAAAACCAAGGAACACCACAUGUCAUUCUCUGGGCUCUAGACUGGGGAGCCUGUCUUCUUUUCCCCACUUUUCAGAUACUUCUCAUGUUUGUUUUAUGAAUAAAUGUCCAAGGUUUUUAGUUGUACUUAAAUAGGAGGAAUAGGAAAAAGUACAUCUACUCCAU